GGGCCAUAGUUUAGUGGUCUAAGCUUAGUGGCUUAAGCCUUGCAAGCAGAAGCCCCAGAUUCAAAUCCUGCUGGCACCU